AUGCUUGUUCCUGCAGCACAUAUACCAGAACUGUAACAGCACGGAGAAGAUUGGCAUGGUCCCUGCAUAAAGAUGGCAUGCAAGCUUCUGAAGUAUUCUGUAUUAUU